ensembl:lncRNA
UGUCCUCAUCCGGUCCCCAUGGGAAGAAUCCCUGCCUCAUUGCAGAAUUUCCCUGGAUUUAGGCCAGGAGAACCAGGGUAUGGCAGCUACUGGAGUCAGAUCACCACCAUGCCAUGACAUUCACAGUGAGGAAGUUUGUGAUGAGCUGAAUAUUGCUGUGUGGUAGUGUCCCAGUGGGGCUGCAUAGGAGCCCAUACUAUUUUAGGAUCAUUGUGUGCAACCCUCAGUUUACAUCAUUCCUAGGAGCAGUCCCACCUUCAGGUGUGGUUUGCUGCUCUUCUGCCGGUGCCAGUGCUGGUGACUACUAGGGUGAGCGGGUCAAAUGCAGUGCAUUCACCUACUUGAAAGCUGACUUAAGCUUAAAGCUUGACAAACAAACAAACAAAAACAAACCACUUGAAAUAAACAAUUGUAAAAUAUCAGCAAGAACAAUUCCCAGUUUAGCUUGUGCCAGGACUGAUAAAGAAGAGGUGAAGCUGCAGCAUUGACUGGCAAAGGAUGAUACUGAACCUAGAGCCCAGGCAGGGCUUUGUAUGGUAAAAGAUUUGGAAAUAGUUAAGUCAGUAAGGUGUUGAAACCACUAUUAAAAAUGAAAAGUAACUCAAUCUGCAAAUACUUCUUCAUGGGGGUUUUUCCUUGAUAUUACAAAUCUGCUAGAACUUCUUGCAGACCUGAAAUUCCUGCUGCCUCUGGAGCACCUGCACACCUCCCAAGUUCUGCAGCUGUGAACAAAAGCAUUCCUCAGCACCCUUUCAGGUAAGAAAUGCUUGCAGAUAGGCAGCAACACGUGCAGUUGUCGGCAGGCACUGAACAUGGACCUGACAGGUUUGUGGGGUUUUCUUCCCCAGGGUAAAAAGAAAAAAAGAAAAAAGAAAAAAGAAAAAAAAGCAGGAGAAUUUCUCUAUUCUGUUGAGAGCAGGUUAAAUGACUUCUGACUCAGACCCAUGUGAGUGACAGCUUCAGAGUCAUUGAGAUAGUGGUGGAGAAGGUCUGACUGGGAAACACAGUGAGUUGCCGGGCUGCUUUCUGUGGAGUUUGCUGCUUUCUGUGCCAGCUGGGUUGGUGCUGGGUGGGCAAGUGUCAAGGUGGGCUUGUCCAUGGUUUGUGGAGCUCACUCUGUUGAUGGGUAUGGAGGAAAGCUGCUCUCAGCAUGAAAUUAAAUAAUUGGGAUCUCGACUAAUUACUUCUCUGUGUUUCCAAAACACUGCCUGCUUGCGAGGUGCUGUGAGAGCACUUUACCUGUGCGUGAUGGAGAGGUUUACGGAGCAUGGCAGCUGAAGAGAGGAAAGGGAGAGGGCUCUGCUGAGAGGUCAGCCCACCUCAUUAAGAGUUUCCAGAUAGGAGCAUUUGGUUUGUUUUAGGGACAAAUAAACAAAUCCAAACAUCCAUUCACAAAACUUAUCUUCUACUUGUGAGCAAGAAGGAAGAAGUAGAGAAAGCAAGCUGGAAGUGCAGAGCUGCUCCUUGAGCAGGUGGCACUGGCUGUAGAGGAGGAUUUGAGAUGGUGGUGUCUGGGACCAGGGCUGAGUCAGUGUCCUGCAGGACAGUCUGCUGACUCCUCCACCGGGAACAGGGCAAAGGGAGACAGCUCUGAGAGGAAAGGUUGGUUUUGGCACAGGUGGCUUCCCUGCUCCACCUGGGAAAUCUGUUGGAUCCACCUGGGAGUGGGAUGGCUCGAGCUGGCCUGGGCUCCAUCAGGAAGGGUUGCAGGUGGUGAGGUGCAGCCACAGCUUCUUCAUCUGCCUCCGUGGGGACACCCUGUCUUCUUCCUCUGUACUUGAAUUCCUGAAGAUCUCCUGUCUCUGUGAGUAUUGGCAGCUUCUUCAGUUAUUCCUUUAACAAUUGCCUUGCAGGAGCCAGCAACUUCAGAAGAAUCAAUUGUUUUACACUCACAUAAAUAAGACACUUCUUCCACAUACAGAGAAAUACCUACUUUUCUCUGCCUGCAAAGAUGUGAGAUCAAGUGAUUAUUUCAUUAUAAUUUAUUUCUAAUUGAUUUCCUGGUGGUGGUGCUCUAAUGCCUUGACAGCGUCCCUGCUUUUAACAUCGUUGGUUACAUAUUUAUGCACCUGUUCCAGGCUUUCUAUUAAAUGUCGCCUCAGCAAGUUUUAAGGCCUUCUUUUAAUUUAGUGAUGCCAAGUUUCACUUUUCAGCAUUUUUUAAGAAUUCUUUCAACAGUUCCAAGAGGAUUUAUUACUGGGUGAUUAAACUAUAGAAACCUAAUGCUUGAUUGAACACGCUGAACAGCAUGUUGUUUUCCAAAGCACUUAAACUCCUAAAAGUCAGUCUGAGCCCCAUAACCUGGUACUACCACUGUAAGGGGGCCAGGUGGAGAAAACACAGAUAUUGUUCUUGGCACAACAUGCUCAACAACUGCAUUAUUUAACAAGGCUCUUUCUGGACUGAGGGAAUAACAGUCCAGAAUUGAUGUGUGCUUGAGGUAAUGAUGUGGGACUGAGGGUUUGUAGUAUUGCAGAAGGCAUCAUCAGCUGGAAUCAGAAUUCCAGAGCUCAGGGAAUAACUUUAAUUGCUCUUGUUCUUUUGCAGUCCUGCUUUUUUUGAUGAAGGCUGUUGUCUGAUGUACUGAGUCCUAGACACAGUUUCCAUUCAAACUAUCUUUCCAAAAUUACUUUUACGUCUAGCUUACAAAUACGUGCACUUCAGAAGGCUGACCUGGAUCACAUCCAUCUGUUCUUAAUAAGCUUUGAUUUUCAUUCCAGAUGCUUUACUGCAGUGUCGAAGGACCCAUUAAUCAGUGUGCCAGAGCUCAACCUGUAAAUACUUGGAUCUCCUCCAGUUGCUGCUGUUUCUGUGUUGUUUGACUUCUGUUUCUUCUUGUUCCUGUUAACAUGUGUAGCAUCUCAGUAGUUUCCUGAAUUCGAAGCGUAACUAACAAGACUCAGGUACAGCAAAACCUUCAUAACGUAGCAGCUAGGGAGGUGAUUAGAAGGUCUCUUCUCUAUCUAAAUGCUAUCACUCCAGAUUAAAAAAAAAAAAAACAGAUUUCUGUAAUGACGCUAACUGUGAAUUUGUGGUGAUUGUGAAGCUGCUGCUUAUCAUAGAAUGGCUUGGACUGGAAGAGACCUCAAAGAUCAUCUGAUUUCCUCUACUGAAGACAGGGUUGCCAACCACUAGAUCAGGCACUUCAUCAGGUUGAAAGGCCUCUCCAGAAAGUAUUUUUCUGGGGAAACAUCUCCUUUCAGUGGUCAACACAGGGACACGGAUUUGUAAAUGAGUGAUUUCCACAUUUGCAAAGGUUUUGCAAAUGAACUCUGGGAGAAUCAGAAAUAUUGACUUCUACAGUUGAAACACUGAUAUGAACCAAAUAAUAUUAUUGCCAGCUACCUGGCAUCAGGCAUCUGUUCAUAUAUGAGGGGCUGGCAUGCAAGUAGCAGAAAACGGUUUGUUUGGGUUCAAGCAUAGCACUGUCAAAGAAGAAAAUCAAAAACCUUUUAGGACUUGUUCUCUUCUAUGAGGAUUUGGAAAUCAGACUAUUUUCUGGGCUGUGGAGUGAUGACAGCAGUCCAGGAAUUCCUGCUGAGUCUGGACUUCUCCCUCAAGACUACUUUUAAGCAACCUGCCAGAAGCUGAUCCUUUCCUUCUCCCUUGUGUGGUUGGUUUUGUUUUUGUUUUUUGUUGUUUUGUUUUGUUUUGUUUUGUUUUUUUUUGAAAUUUAAAUCAGUUCUGCACUUUUGGUCAUUCCUGACUCUCUCUUUCAUGCUGGUUGGUUCUGGCUGGAUGAUUCUCUAUAGUGGACCAGGUAUGGGAAGCAGGUAAAAUCCAUGGCAGCCCUGAAACCCAGCUCCUAGUCCUAGGCCCUAGCAGAGGAAAAAGUGCUUAGACUAUUAAAUUCAUUUCUUCAUUUCUGAUUCUGUGCUGAAAAUUUACGAAGACUCUUUUUCUUUUUUUAAAGCAUUCAGAACAAAAGUAUUAGGAUGAUAGUUUCAAACCAAAAGCUAGGUCAUAGUGCAUGUCAAGCCACGAUCAAAGCCUUGAGGAGUUGUGAAAGAGGAAAAACUAGGAAGGAGACCUGGGUCUGAUGAGGCUGCUGUGGGAGGAGAGCUGCAUGAGAGAUUCUUGUGGUUCUCCAUCCCUCUAGGGUGGUUGUUCAACUAUGGGGUGACAAUGGAAGAAGAGAAGACCUAAUCGUGAAUAGGCACCAUUUGAAGCACACACAUUUGUACCGAGGAGUGGGACUGCAACAGCUGAAAACUUGCUGUCUGUUGGAAUCAAAAGGGGAGCCAUUACAGGUGGCCAAGAGGACAUCUUCACUGCUCAUGCUGCCAGUUCAAGCAGGUGCAGCAUUAUAGAAAACAGCCCUGUGUUGUGGAGAUAAUACAGUGAAAAAGCCAUGGAUAAGGCUCUGUAUAGCUAUGUUAGUAUUUUUUCAUGUGUGUGGUAUGCCUUUCUGCAUGGGAUUGGCUGAACAGGGACAUGCCAACAUGUCCUACCUGGCUCCAGUCUCCAGCAGCAGUUGGUGUUGGAUCCCUGGAAAAGGAGUAGUAAGGUAGCAUGGUGUGCAGCUCAGGGAGUUCCUAAGCCUCAGAUAACACCUUUGUAUUUAACGGCCCUUGACAGAUUUCUUUUCUCCUGUGAGUUUAUUCAGCCUUUCUUGAAUUGCUGCAAACCUCUAGCACCUGCAUCAUAUUGCAGCAGCGGAAUCUGUGGUAGAGUGCUUAUUGAAUAACUGCGUCCAGCAACCAGCUUCAGGGCUGGGGUGAGCCUCUGCACCGGGGAACGCCAGCUCGUAGGCAAUUAACCCACAACUGACUGCCUUCGCCCGGGCCGCUCCAGGCCCUUCGGUCGCUUCGCGAGGAAAUCGCCCCUCAGCGGCGCCCCUGGGCGGGCGGCCCCGCGGCGGGUCC